ACGAACGCUAGCGGCGUGCCUAAGAAAUGCAAGUCGAGCGAGGUCAUCGGAGCUUGCUCUGACAACCUAGCGGCGAACGGUCGCGUAACACGUAAGCAACCUGCCCUGAAGUGGGGGAUAGUCCUCCGAAAGGGGGCUUAAUACCGCAUGUGGCCACUGGUUCGCAUGGACCGGUGUCUAAAGCAGUAAUGCGCUUCAGGAUGGGCUUGCGGCCUAUCAGCUAGUUGGUGUGGGUAACGGCCCACCAAGGCGACGACGGGUAGCUGGUCUGAGAGGAUAGUCAGCCGGACUGGGACUGAGACACGGCCCAGACUCCUACGGGGGGCAGCAAUUAGGAAUCUUGCGCAAUGGGCGAAAGCCUGACGCAGCGACGCCGCGUGACUGACGACGUCCUUCGGGAUGUAAAGGUCUUUUGCAGGGGAAGAAGGAUGUGACGGUACCCUGCGAAUAAGCUCCGGCUAACUACGU
rnacentral:rRNA from 1 species